rnacentral:rRNA from 1 species
AACGGGUGCGUAACACGUGAACAAUCUACCUUUUAGUGUGGAAUAGCUCGGCGAAAGCCGGAUUAAUACCGCAUGUGGUUGUCUUUCGCAUGAAAGACACACCAAAGUCAGGGACCGCAAGGCCUGACGCUAAUAGAGGAGUUCGCGGCCUAUCAGCUAGUUGGCGAGGUAACGGCUCACCAAGGCUAAGACGGGUAGCUGAUCUGAGAGGAUGAUCAGCCACACUGGAACUGAGAUACGGUCCAGACACC